CCGAGUUCAUGCCCUUCGGGGUAGAUCUCCCACCCUGCUUAUCUUACUUACGUUGCUUUGGCGGGCCGACCGUUCAGGCCGCUGGCAAUUUGCUGGUGCGCGCCCGCCAAAGGCCUUACAACCCUGAUAUCGAAUGUGGCGUCCGAGUACUAUACAAAUAGUUA
rnacentral:misc_RNA from 1 species